CUACGGGCCGCUCCAGUGAGGAAUAUUGCACAAUGGGGGGAACCCUGAUGCAGCAACGCCGCGUGGAGGAUGACGCAUUUCGGUGUGUAAACUCCUUUUAUAUGUCAAGAAAAUGACGGUAGCAUAUGAAUAAGCACCGGCUAACUCCGUGCCAGCAGCCGCGGUAAUACGGAGGGUGCAAGCGUUACUCGGAAUCACUGGGCGUAAAGGACGCGUAGGCGGGUUGAAAAGUCAGGUGUGAAAGCCUACAGCUUAACUGUAGAACUGCACUUGAAACUUCUAAUCUAGAGUAUGGGAGGGGGAGAUGGAAUUAGUGGUGUAGGGGUAAAAUCCGUAGAUAUCACUAGGAAUACCUAAAGCGAAGGCGAUCUCCUGGAACAUUACUGACGCUAAGGCGUGAAAGCGUGGGGAGCAAACAGGAUUAGAUACCCGAGUAGUC
rnacentral:rRNA from 1 species